GACUAGGGUGGACUCGCUUCGACUAACACCCGGAUUAGGUGGUCUUAGCGAGGGCCCCCGAAAACAUCAGGAUUGCUAAGACUUCGCUCAUCUGUUUCCACGGCUUCCCACAAGAUGAAAAAGGUAGGGGUUCAAAUCGCCAGGCUUCAGCUCCAAGAAGAGUGGGUCAGCCGGGUCUGGGUCCUGGGAAGCCUAAAUGGGCUAUGACGGUGGGUGAGCUGAUGAGGAUUCAAAUGGGAAUUUCAGAGUGAAUUUCCUUCAAAUUUGGGGGAAUGUCAGCGAGGUGCUUGAUGAUGAUGAUUUCGUUAUUGUUGGUGAUGUGGACAUUGGGGAAGGUAAGCAAAGCGAGAAUGAUGAACCAGGCAGUGGCGAAUUGAGGAAGAAGAAGAGGAAGAUAGAAAAGGUUGCUGGCGAGUUGAAGGGUGAGAAAAGAUUGAAGAAAUAAGCUAAGGCGAAAGAUGAUGCUGAGUUAAAUGGGGAAAAUGAUGUUGGUGAGAAGAAGUUGAAAAGGUCAUCGAAGGCAGGAGAAGAAGAUGGUGCCACUGUCAAUCAUAAGAAAGAUGGAUUGUCAUUGAAAGAGAAGAAAAAAGAUGGUACAAGGAAGAAAGCAGAUGAUUCGUCGGCUCGAGGAGAAGAGUCUAUUGGAAAGAAAGAGAGGAGAAAGAGUAAAGAGUCUGUUGGAAAGAAGGAGAAGAAGAAGAGUGAAGAUGAAAAGUUGAAGAGCACAGAAGCAAACCUAAAGAAGGCCAAGAGAAGUAAGAAAGCAGCAGAGUGAUUCGGGAUAACAGGCUCCAGGCAAAUGACAGGCUUUGCAGUGGGAUUCAAUAGAUCCGGGCAAGUAUGGCUAUCAAUAUUGAGUCAUCUGGAGAAUUUUGAUUGUUGUGUAUUUUAUUCUGGUGUUGAAAUGAUGAUCUUAUUUGUUAGUUUAUGAGUUGACAUUGCCUAUUUACUUAGUUAUAACUUAUGGAGAUCAUACAAAAUGUUUACUUUUCCA